rnacentral:rRNA from 1 species
AGUGAACGCUGGCGGUAGGCCUAACACAUGCAAGUCGAACGGCAGCACAGUAAGAGCUUGCUCUUACGGGUGGCGAGUGGCGGACGGGUGAGGAAUACAUCGGAACCUACUUUUUCGUGGGGGAUAACGUAGGGAAACUUACGCUAAUACCGCAUACGACCUACGGGUGAAAGCAGGGGAUCUUCGGACCUUGCCCGAUUGAAUGAGCCGAUGUCGGAUUAGCUAGUUGGCGGGGUAAAGGCCCACCAAGGCGACGAUCCGUAGCUGGUCUGAGAGGAUGAUCAGCCACACUGGAACUGAGACACGGUCCAGACUCCUACGGGAGGCAGCAGUGGGGAAUAUUGGACAAUGGGCGCAAGCCUGAUCCAGCCAUACCGCGUGGGUGAAGAAGGCCUUCGGGUUGUAAAGCCCUUUUGUUGGGAAAGAAAAGCAGCAGGUUAAUACCCCGCUGUUCUGACGGUACCCAAAGAAUAAGCACCGGCUAACUUCGUG